GACGAACGCUGGCGGCGUGCUUAACACAUGCAAGUCGAACGGUAAGGCUCCAGCUUGCUGGGGUACACGAGUGGCGAACGGGUGAGUAACACGUGGGUGACCUGCCCUGCACUUCGGGAUAAGCCUGGGAAACUGGGUCUAAUACCGGAUAGAACUGCACCGUGAGGGUGUGGUGGAAAGUUUUUUCGGUGUGGGAUGGGCCCGCGGCCUAUCAGCUUGUUGGUGGGGUAAUGGCCUACCAAGGCGGCGACGGGUAGCCGGCCUGAGAGGGUGGACGGCCACAUUGGGACUGAGACACGGCCCAGACUCCUACGGGAGGCAGCAGUGGGGAAUAUUGCACAAUGGGCGGAAGCCUGAUGCAGCGACGCCGCGUGGGGGAUGACGGCCUUCGGGUUGUAAACUCCUUUCACCAUCGACGAAGGGUUUCUGACGGUAGAUGGAGAAGAAGCACCGGCUAACUACGUGCCAGCAGCCGCGGUAAUACGUAGGGUGCGAGCGUUGUCCGGAAUUACUGGGCGUAAAGAGCUCGUAGGUGGUUUGUCGCGUCGUCUGUGAAAUUCCGGGGCUUAACUCCGGGCGUGCAGGCGAUACGGGCAUAACUUGAGUACUGUAGGGGAGACUGGAAUUCCUGGUGUAGCGGUGAAAUGCGCAGAUAUCAGGAGGAACACCGGUGGCGAAGGCGGGUCUCUGGGCAGUAACUGACGCUGAGGAGCGAAAGCAUGGGGAGCGAACAGGAUUAGAUACCCUGGUAGUCCAUGCCGUAAACGGUGGGCGCUAGGUGUGGGUUUCCUUCCACGGGAUCCGUGCCGUAGCUAACGCAUUAAGCGCCCCGCCUGGGGAGUACGGCCGCAAGGCUAAAACUCAAAGGAAUUGACGGGGGCCCGCACAAGCGGCGGAGCAUGUGGAUUAAUUCGAUGCAACGCGAAGAACCUUACCUGGGCUUGACAUAUACAGGAUCGCGCCAGAGGUGGUGUUUCCCUUGUGGCUUGUAUACAGGUGGUGCAUGGUUGUCGUCAGCUCGUGUCGUGAGAUGUUGGGUUAAGUCCCGCAACGAGCGCAACCCUUGUCUUAUGUUGCCAGCACGUUGUGGUGGGGACUCGUAAGAAACUGCCGGGGUUAACUCGGAGGAAGGUGGGGAUGACGUCAAAUCAUCAUGCCCCUUAUGUCCAGGGCUUCACACAUGCUACAAUGGUCGGUACAGUGGGUUGCCAGUCCGUGAGGGCGAGCUAAUCCCGCAAAGCCGGUCUCAGUUCGGAUCGGGGUCUGCAACUCGACCCCGUGAAGUCGGAGUCGCUAGUAAUCGCAGAUCAGCAACGCUGCGGUGAAUACGUUCCCGGGCCU
rnacentral:rRNA from 1 species